GUAGGUGGCAAGCGUUGUCCGGAAUUAUUGGGCGUAAAGCGCGCGCAGGCGGUUCUUUAAGUCUGAUGUGAAAGCCCACGGCUCAACCGUGGAGGGUCAUUGGAAACUGGAGAACUUGAGUACAGAAGAGGAAAGCGGAAUUCCACGUGUAGCGGUGAAAUGCGUAGAGAUGUGGAGGAACACCAGUGGCGAAGGCGGCUUUCUGGUCUGUAACUGACGCUGAGGCGCGAAAGCGUGGGGAGCAAACAGGGAUUAGAUACCCUGGUAGUCCACGCCGUAAACGAUGAGUGCUAAGUGUUAGGGGGGUUUCCCGCCCCUUAGUGCUGCAGCUAACGCAUUAAGCACUCCGCCUGGGGAUACGGCCGCAAGGCUG
rnacentral:rRNA from 1 species